rnacentral:rRNA from 1 species
ACGAAGGCAGCAGUGGGGAAUCUUCCGCAAUGGGCGAAAGCCUGACGGAGCAAUGCCGCGUGAGUGAUGAAGGGAUUCGUCCCGUAAAGCUCUUUUGUUGGUGACGAACGUGCAGAGGGUGAACAAUCCUGUGUAAUGACGGUAGCCAACGAAUAAGCCACGGCUAACUACGUGCCAGCAGCCGCGGUAAUACGUAGGUGGCGAGCGUUGUCCGGAAUUAUUGGGCGUAAAGAGCAUGUAGGCGGUUUCUUAAGUCUGGAGUGAAAAUGCGGGGCUCAACCCCGUAUGGCUUUGGAUACUGGGAGACUUGAGUGCAGGAGAGGAAAGGGGAAUUCCCAGUGUAGCGGUGAAAUGCGUAGAUAUUGGGAGGAACACCAGUGGCGAAGGCGCCUUUCUGGACUGUGUCUGACGCUGAGAUGCGAAAGCCAGGGGAGCAAACAGGAUUAGAUACCCUGGUA